AUGAAGUUAAUCGACAUCCCCGUGUGCAUUUGUGGUCAUGAUGAAUAUUCUAGAAACGAAGUGAUCCUCUUUUUUUUGAUCUACAUGGUAGGCUUCCCAGAAAAAUCUCAUCACUGGCUAAUCUGCAAAGGUCUCCUUGGAAUUCUUGUGGUGCAGGCCUGCUGGAAUCAUCAAAAUGAUCAAAGCAGCAGCCUUGGGGAUUAAUUCAAACAUGCUGGAGAUAAUGGAUUUAAUCAAGUACUUCUUCAGAAAUAAAAGUUUGAAGCUGGGCAUGGUGGUGCUUGCAUAUAAUCCCAGCACUCAGGAGGCUGAAGCAGGAGGAUUACUUUCAAUUUGAAUCCAGCCUGGACUACAUAGUGAAACCUUGUCUCAAAAAGUCAAAAAAAUAAAAAAAGGAAGGAAGGAAGGAAGGAAGGAAAGUUCAUAGAAGCUGAGUCCCUUCAUAUCUCCUUCUGGCCCACUUUACUUCUCCAGAGAUACCCACUAUCCUGAAAUUGGUAUGUAUUCUUCUUCCAUGUUUUUGUACUUAUACAUAUGUAGGUAUGUAUCCAUAAAUUAUAUAUACCUGAACUUUCAAUAUGGUAUCUGCUUUUUAAAGUUAAAUUAAUUAAAGGAAAAUGAAAUGCAGUUGUCCUUCCCUCCCUUCCUCUCAGCACCUCCCUCUUUACCCUCCCUUCCUCCCUCCUUUUCUCUGUCCCUCCCUUCUCCCCUCCCUCCUUUGUUUUUUUCUUUUUUGGUGUUGGAGGUUGAACCCAGGACCUUCACACUGAAUGGCAGCCCCAGCCCUUUUUUUACUUUUUAGUUUUGAGACAGGGUCUCAGUAAGUGACUAAGUUGUCCAGGUGAGACUUGAACUUGCCAUCCGCCUGCCAUGGCCUCCCAGAAUGUGGGAUUGCAGGAGUGCCCCACUCCACCAGGUCACAUUCAGUUUUUCAGGAAAACUAGCCACACCAUAAGUGUACAAUAUCCAGAUACGGCUAAAAGCCACUCUGGUGGACGGUGCAGGUAUUGAGCAUUUUC
rnacentral:lncRNA from 1 species